GAGAGAGAGAGAGAGAGAGAGAGAGAGAGAGAGAGAGAGAUCGUUACAGGCUCAACUAACUUAUUGCCCCUCUGAGCGACGUAACUCAUGCAGGAAAUUACCGAAAUUGUCCCCCACUCUAGCUAAUCCGCAAUCAGUUUCAACGCCCUUAAGUUACUAUCACGUUACCCAUUCACCCCAACUUUAAUCCCGUCCUUUGCUCUUUGUCAUAAAAAACAACGAGUAUGUGGAGGAGGAGAAGGAUGGAAUGCUUAUCAAACACUCACUUAAGAUAAAAGCAGGGGGGUGGGGGAGGCAGUUGACGAGGACGAACGUGAUAUUAAAGGCAUGCAUUGACGUGCUUGCUUAUAAUGAGACUAACAGCUAAAGCAGACUUAUUUACAGGGAAAAGUAGAAAACAGACAAAUCAAUAAGUAUAUAGACUAACACACGCAUCAACGAAUUUGAAUGUAAGCAAAAAUAUUAUUAUUAGACGAAAGACCUAGCUAAAGUAGACAUAUUAAACUGAGAAGGAACGAAGACAGACAUACAGUAAAAAGACAUAGAUAUAAAGAGAACAGACAUGCAUAGAAAGAUACAGGCAGACAAGUUAGAGACGAAAAAGACAAAAGUCAAUUGAGAAAGACGUUGCAGUUAACUUUAGGAAACGCAGGAAGGCCAAGACAAACACACAUACAUUGAAAGACAGACAAGCGAGACGAAAACUAGAGAAGUCAAUUGUGAAAGACGUUGCAAAGACAUUCAGACAGGGAUAGAUAGACACUGAAAGACGGACAAUCGAAAGCGACGAAAGGGGGAGAGAAGCCGAUCAAGGAAAAUGUUGCAGCUAACUUUAGGAAAACUUUGAGAAGGGAAAGACAGACACAGACAGACAGACGGAGAAACAAAAAUACACACAAAAGCGACGGAGACACGAAGACAAGAGAGAGACAAGUCGAAUGAGAUACAACACCAAACUUAUCACCACCACCACCACUCUUGAACAUUCUAACCUCUCCCUCCCUCCAUCCCUCCCUCUCGUCCUGCCUGGCCUGCUGUCUGGCGUCUGCUCACCAUGGCCUGCCUGCUGUUCCUCCCUCUCCCACAAUGCAGCGUUGCCACGUGGACCAAGACUACACACACACACACACACACACACACACGAACUUUCCCCUAAUGCGCUCAUCAACCAAGACAUUUAAUCAUAACCCAACCUGAGACUGUCCUCGUAGUUUCUCCUGCCUGCACGAAGAUGCUGAUAAGUGAAAGUGUAGCGUUACUAGGUUUUCUCUGCCUGCUCUGGCUAUACGUGUGUUCGGUCACGUAUUCCACUCAUGCUGUCACCCUGCUCGUCCCCUGCACCCUGUAACCUCGCCCCUGCACAUAAUUCAUCCUCGUACGUACCCUGUGCCCCUACCCUUAUGCCUAAUAGUAUACCACGUGUCUAAACGAACUGAAAUUAAUGUUUAUGCAAAUGACUAUAAGUUUAAGGGGGGACAACAGUAAUAAGACCAUCCUCGCACCUUUUCUUCUUGCCUUACGCCACCCGUGUUUAUACGAACUUAAUGUGAAGGAGUAAAAGAUCAAAUAUAUACAAACUCAAUGGGGAACAUCAGUAAUAAGCCAUCCUCGCACCUCUCUUCUUCCCUAAUGCCACCUGUCUAUACGAACUUAAUAAUGUGAAGGAAUAAAAGAUCAGAUAGAAGUUUAAUAGGGAAAGGGGAAAGAGUAGUAGACCUAUCUGCCAACCUAUUUGCUUCUCUCCCCUUGCCCUUCCUCUCCUUCCUUCCGCUUCUCAUAUAUAUCAUGCCCGCUUUCAAUACUAUCCUUUACCUACAUAUCCUAUCAUCUUCCUUGUCCAAAUUCUUCCCUUUCCUCUACCCAUCUACCAACAGCUGCCUACCCAAACAUCUUUUCUGAUACCAAAUGCCACCUGUCAAUACAAAUAAUAUGGAGUAGAAAAUCAUAUAAAUACAAACUUGAUGGGGGACCGGAGUAAUACAAGCACACUAGCACUUUUUUUUCACCCCUGCAAAUACCCAUGUCUCCUCCCUUAAGCCUAUUACCAUCUGUCCGUGAAGAAGUAAAAGAUCAUAUAUAUAAAUACAAACUUAAUGGGGGGAACAGGAGUAAUAAAGCCACCCUAGAACACUUAUUUCACCCCCCUUAUGUACCCAAGUCCCCUCCGCUAAGCCUAAAGCCACCUGUGUUCUUUUAUAGGAAGACGUUUAAACAGGGGAAGGGGUGAGGGCUGUAAAAUACGAAGUAACCAUCACAACUUCCACCCAUUAUGCGCGUUCCUCACCUUCACCUAAGCCUAAUAGCAUGUAGAUACGUAGAAAUAAAGUUAAGUAGAAAUAAAAGGUAGAAAUAAAAAUAACUGGUUGAAAUCAAAGAAGUGGAUAUGAAACAAGAGGUAGAAAUUAAAGAAGAGGUAGCGUAGAAAUUAAACAAGAGGUAGAAAUUAAACAAGAGGUAGAAAUUAAGCAAGAGGUAGAAAUUAAACAAGAGGUAGAAAUUAAACAAGAGGUAGAAAUUAAACAAGAGGUAGAAAUUAAACAAGAGGUAGAAAUUAAACCAGAGAUAGAAAUUAAACCAGAGAUAGAAAUUAAACCAGAGAUAGAAAUUAAACCAGAGAUAGAAAUUAAACCAGAGAUAGAAAUUAAACCAGAGAUAGAAAUUAAACCAGAGAUAGAAAUUAAACCAGAGGUAGAAAUUAAACCAGAGAUAGAAAUUAAACCAGAGAUAGAAAUUAAACCAGAGAUAGAAAUUAAACCAGAGAUAGAAAUUAAACCAGAGGUAGAAAUUAAACCAGAGGUAGAAAUUAAACCAGAGGUAGAAAUUAAACCAGAGGUAGAAAUUAAACCAGAGGUAGAAAUUAAACCAGAGGUAGAAAUUAAACCAGAGGUAGAAAUUAAACCAGAGGUAGAAAUUAAACCAGAGGUAGAAAUUAAACCAGAGGUAGAAAUUAAACCAGAGGUAGAAAUUAAACCAGAGGUAGAAAUUAAACCAGAAGUAGAAAUUAAACCAGAAGUAGAAACUAAACAAGAGGUAGAAAUUAAACAAGAGGUAGAAAUAAGAUAAAAAAAAAGG